CGCAGGCUCUCCUAACGCUGCGCAUUCUGCGUACCUCCGGCAGGGCGCGGCGGUGCGGCGGGCGUAGCUGAGCUACGAGAAUAAGGCAGGGGGAGCGCAGCGCGGUGGCGCUUCGUGAGGGGAAAUGGCGGGCGGGGCAGCCCAGGGCCGCCUCAGCGCGCCUCAGGGUUGCCUCUGGCCUCUGAGGCUCCUCCAUCCGGCCCCGAGGAGCCUGGCCUCGGCCCCUCAGGGCUGUGUGUUAUUUCAAAGGUGCGACACUGAUUUUGAGAGCUUUUGCUGGGGUCCUUUAAUAAAACAUAGGAAGAGAAGGCCUUUGAUCUGAAUUGGAAACUUGAUAGAGUGGCAACCGUGUAUCAGUCCCUACUGGUGAAGUUAGUGCAGACAUUUCUGAUGCUUGCCUGGUGACAUGUAGCCAGAGCCAGUAGCAGAAUUUGGUGGGUGUGACUGGUUGCUGCUGGAGGAGUAGGAACAAGUGGCACCCAGGCUUUUUGGAUGGGUCCUAAUAAAGGCCUGGAAGAUUCAGAAGAUUAAAGUUUGUACUGAGCCCUGCAGAUGAGCAGAGUAAUUAAAAUACAGAAUCAGUGCUGUGCUCAGAAACUGGGCAACAUUCCCCAUCUCAGCUCUGCCAACAUGUCUCAGUCCUGGACUUCAGCACCCACUGCUUCCCUGCUCCAUAAGACACAGACUCAGCUUGGCCACCGCAUCUCAAUCUUGAUCUGUAACACCUCCUGCUGUUCCAAUUCUGGGGCCUUUUUGAGCAGAAAAUACCCUCUCUCUUCUAAAUUGUGCCAAAUUGCUUGGUUUUGGCCACAGAACUCAUUUUCACUUGUCACCUAACGGGAUACCUAGAGACUUUCAUCUAGCACUGUCAGCGCCAGAGGAAAAAGAACAUGUGAAUACCCAGUCCCCUGCUAAGUCCCCUAAUUAUAUAGUGAUGUGUUAAUAACGAACACGCUUUCAUGUCUUGGCAGUUGCAAAACACUCAUCAGUAGCGCAGUGCUUCAGAACUGGAAUCGCACAGGAAAGAUGCAAGUCCCCGUUUAAAUUACUUAGUAUCAGCAUUGUCUGUACCCAGCACUAGGGUCUGGAAGAAAUGCUAGCAUGAAGCUGCCAGAUGCCGGCUGUUUGGGUGCUCUGCAGAAUCGGAACCACCAUGCUAGAGACUUGUUGUUGCAGAAGUGAGACUUGCUGUGCAGAGCAUCUCUUUUUCUUUGGGGGUGUAACAGUUUCUAUCUUGGCUGGUGCAUGAGGGCUGGAGCUGGGAGCAUCCAGAUCCAGAGUUAUGUGCUGCUUUCAGUUUGAACCAAAUUGCUGGAUUUUGCAGUGCUGAUGGCUUGCACCCUGUGGUGAUGAGCCUGGUUUGCUGCACACCUGGGAGCUGAAGCAAGAGUGAACCUCUGUGUGUGCUGGUGAACACCCUGAGCCACUAAAGUUCAUGGCAGUGGCUGCCUGAGCUCAGGAACAAUUGCUCUGUUUCUGGAACAGAUGGCUCAGAUCGUCAGAAAUGGAGGAAUUAAACCCUUUGUCAGAAGGUCUUCUGGAAGCAAGGUAGAAGUCAGAAAACCCAAGGGUGUUAGCAUGGGGGAUAAUGUGCUUGGGGGAAAAGAGAGGAGGACGACAAAAAGAGGGGGAGCCAGGUGGGAGAGGUUUCCUUUCCAGAAGACAGAGGGACGUGGCUGAUGGUUGCGUCAUGUUCCCUUGUGAGCAGAAUCUUGAGCUGUGCCCAAAGUUUCUGCUUGCGCGUGCAGCGUGCGUGUUGGCUUGGGCUUUGGGGUCUGGCAUAAGCCCCCUGGCAGGGAUGGCAAACUUGGCCCCCUCCUGCAGACGGUGCAGCUGUGAGCAGCGCUGCCAGGUGUUGAGAGCUGCAGAGCCACAGCCCAGCUAAACGCCUGUUUAUCUGUCAUGUUUGGCCUUGUAAACAGCCCUGUGAGAGCUGUUGGAUGCUGAGGUCAUAUCCUGGCCCAGGAGAAAGGAUGGAUAUACAUCUUGCAUGAGCAGGGUGUAGGGACAGAGCAGUGCUUCAAAUGCUUUCUUCUGUUCCAACGUCUUUGGCAAGGCAGAAGAUGAAUGGCAGAUGCCCAAUCUUAUCCUGGGAAAGGAACACUGCAAAUGAAGCUCUCAAAAUACUCCUCAGUCCCCUAGAUCCAUCCAAUUUACAUACUCAGUGUUGUGUGGAUUGUAUCUUAUGGUGCAUACUUUGCAUUCUUUUAUGUAGGUUACAAAUUCUGCUCGUGUCACUUCAUGCUAACAGCAGUGCCAGUGUCCCUGAUAGCGAGAGUGCCUUGCAGUGCUCGGUGUCUGUUGGGAUCGCAGCUCUGAGGUCAGAUGGAGGCCACUGCUCGCCCAGUGUCACAGCGUCAUCAGUGCUCGCCUCUGACAGAUUGGCUUAGUACCACCCCAUCGGCAGAACGUGUUGUGAACGCGACACUUAUUUCUAUUACCAUUCAAGAAAAUGCCUAAAAACCAGAUCUCUGAGAAGCCUUAUAUUUGCAACCCUUUAGGCUUUAAUUUAGGCGCUAGCUGUGGCAGAAGACCGUGGAAGAAGGAUGUAGGCAGGCCUGGAGAGACUAGACAAGAGAAGCCAAAGCAUUUGCUGUCUUUUAGGUCUGUCUGUGUGCAGAGCUGUGCACGAGGACCUGCUGAGGUUGCUUUGCCAAGGGGUAGGACAUGCUUAGGUCAGAUUUCUGUGAGUGUGAGGGAGGGAAGAGGCAUGAUCUCUGGCUGAGAGCCACACAGUUUUACCAGCAAAAAUACUAUAUGAAAAUUGCCUUUUUUGUUUGUCUUAUUCAGCAUGUGUCUGAUGCAUGUCCGAAGGAGCCACAGCCUGGAUCUUAGGCAUGGGUCUUUGUGGGGAGCAGUUCUCUCUUCUGGCUCAGAAGCUGUUUUGCUGUUCCAAUCACAUGCAGAACCGAAAGAAUCACGUUGGGUGGAGAGAGCGCAAGGUGAUGUAACAUCAGCUGUGUGCUGCUCAUCCUUGGCGAUGACCCACCUCCCAGCAGGGCCCUGUGUGGGCCCUUAUCCUGCAGCCUGCUUAAUCAGAAAAGCCCCAGGUUUGCCUUUGCUCCACCCUCCUCAGGGCUCUUAGUGCCAUUCAGUAGGGUGAGCAAAAACUGCUGCAGCUCAAAGCACGGGAGCUCGGGGCUGUAGCACUCAGGCACAUGGUUCUGCUUUCUCACAGGUAGGAGACCUGCUGCCUGAUGUGAUGCACCAGUGCUGUAAGCUCAGCACAUUUUAACGUGCUAACUGAAGCCGCAGAUCACGUUUUGCAAUAAAUUUGUGUAUAGGUCUACUGAGAGGCGGUUGUUUCAGAAUUUUACCAGCGAGACUGCCAAAACUAUUUGUGUAUUUCAUAGUUCAUAUUCUAAAUGACUCGUAUGCAUCCCCGUGUCAUAUAUUAACCGAUACAACUCAUAAACUGUGGUGCCUAGCACAGCUUUCGUCCCUAGAUCUGUCUACAGAGGUUUUAGCAAUAGAGCUUGCUUUAUCCAAGUUGUCCCUGGUAUUUCCGUUGUGUGAAUGUCUGUGUAAGGCACGGAGGGUUUGGUGUAAAAUGAACCGAUGACAGUAAUUGUUGCUGCUGUGAAACCAGAGUCCUCUUAAUUGGCAGAAGAGGUCUCUAGCCUCUGCCGCAAAUGGGCAAUGAGUGGAGGGCUAGAACCUUCUCUAGAGGAGAUGGGGCUGAGAAAAGUGAAACACUGAGAAAACGUUUCAUAAAACAAAAAGGAGGUAGGGAAGCAAAGGGGAGGUGAGACUUGCUAUAUGGGGAAGGGGUUGAACAAGUUUUCAAAGAAAAUGCCUUAUGCUCUGGAAAUAAUGCUCACUCUAUCACAGAAAUCCAGAACAAAAUCGGUGCUAUUAUAAAUACUAUUUGAUGUCUCUUUUGACUUACAUAAGCAUGCAGUUAUUAUUGAGGCACUCUGAGCGCUAAAUUCAUUUUCCCUUUGUAGUUUUGAGGCACCUGUAACUCUUGUGAGGAAGUGUUACCUCUAGGCUAGGCAACGUGUCUGACAAGGAGAUGUAGCUGGCUGAAGGAGAUUGAGAUGAAACUCAAGUAGUUCCCAGGGGAAAUGCUUUGUGCUCGUAUGGCUGACCAACCAGUUUAGGUUCCGGGGACUUCAUUUUGAAAGUUUGCAUGCGAUUUAUGCUGUCGUCUUCAUUUUAUGAACUUGGAGAUUCAGCUUUAUUAACGCUGCAGGAAUGAAUGCUUUUGUGCAGUAUCUUCAGGCUAAUUUGGGUGUUAGGGUUGUUCUCACCACCUUAGAGCAAAGCACAUCUCUCCUGCAGAAAUACAGCACCGAUGGCUCACGUCAUAUUGCUCUGGAAGAGAAGAGCCAGUAAGCAAAUGAGCUAAAGAAACAAGAGAAAGCAUUGCAAGCACUUUAAUGCUGAAUGCACAGGGAGGACUCUUCCUCCUUUGUCUUUACAAAAAUGUAGAAGAAAGCAAACCAAUCCUUUUCUACCUCUGUUUUUUGGAUUUCAGAAAUAGCUGCUGUGAACUUUCACUACUACAGUUGCCAAAGCAGAUUGUGUCACUUAAUUCUUCCCCAUUUUAACUUCAGCUGAAAAAUUGAGCAUGCAAAAGAAACCCUUAACAGCAAGUGACUCCAUUUGCUGCCUAAAGGAGGUCAUUCAUCUCUGAAGGCAAGUGAUUAGACUUGUCAGUGUGCCUCGCUCCAAAGUCUGCUGCUAAUCCCUCUUGGGCUGAAUGUUUGGUGUAGCCAAACACUAGUUUAUAAGAAAAGUUUUGGUUGCCCAUCAGUGUCGAAAUAGUUUGUAUUAAGAAUUCUUCAGAGAAGAGCAACAAAGAUGAUUGUGGAUCUGGACCAGCUUCUGGGCAGAAGUUAAAUUAAUGGGGAUGCUUCAGCCUUGAGCAGAGAUGCUCUGGAGGAAUGUCCUGGAGGGCUGUGAAGUUGUCUGUGUCUGGAGGGUGACCUGUGGAGGACUGCUCCCUGUCUCUUUCCCAGGCAUAGCGCUAUUCACCACUGUCAGGGAGGAGAUAAUGGGCGUCUGCGGUCUGACAUGCUGUGACUCUUUUCCUUGUGGAGUGCGAGGUGUUGCUGAGCAUGGUCUUUACUUCAAGUGAGGUCCUGAGAUGCCAAACAGGGAGGUGUGUGAGAAAACCCUUCCCAAACAGAGCUCCCUUAGGUGAGAGCUGAUAAUUCUGUGGAGACUGCUACUGGUUUAGCACUUAGCUGGCAGCUGAAGGUGAGAAAGACAGCUCUGGGCAGCUGCUGGGGAUGCUAAACUGCGGAAGGGCACAGCGAUGCACUAAGCACCUCACAGGUUAUCAAAGUAGGUGAGCCUGACUCGGGUGCUGCUGCCAGAUGAGGAGCAGGAGCCGGAGGCCGGCUGGAUUUUCAGUGGCAGUGCAUGUUAUUUUCUCUGUCAAGUCACAGGUGCUGAGAUGCUUCUUGCUGUUAGGCUCUUGAGCUUUCAGCUGGGCACCCGUCCAGCCAUCCGUCACUCCUUGGAUUUUGUGCACAGGAAACCAAAUGUGAUCUGAGAGUUGCCACCGCAGCAGAGAUAUCAAACAGACACCUGGCAUUUAAUACAAACUGAGGUAAAUUCAAUCCGAAAAUAGAACCGGGGUGCGCCUUGGCUGCCAGGCAAGUGAGCCCGUGCUGGGGCUUCUGGCUGCUCCCUGAAGGCUGGGUUGUAACCCUGUAGAUCAGCUCCAAACAGAAAGCAGGAACAAUGUUUGGAUGUAACGGUAGAAAAACUGAUGUGGGGCAGCUCAGAACCAAGCUCAAAGCCAAGACUUUUUUUUUCUUCCAUGAUGUGAUCAAAUGAGUAACAACUGAGUGAGCUCUUUUGUUCUUUGUGGCCCAACUGACAGAUAAUGCAGGGGGUGGAGAGAUUGGCUUUGUUUUUAACUGCAAAAUCCGUGAAGGGAUAUGUUCUUUGUGAAUUAAUUUGGAGAAAAUGGGGUUUAACUAUUCGACAAAAGAUUCAUUUCCACCCACUUCCCAGCUGGCUCUGGAGUGCAGUUUAAACAUAGACUGUCACAUUCGCAGCACCCGUGAAUGUUUGAACUGAAAUAGCAACUCGUAUCUGGCGGGGCAGCGAGCAGCAGUGGUGCUGCUUGUGGGUAACGGGUGGCAUCACAGAAUCAUUUGGGGUGGAAAAGACCUCUGAGAUCAUCAAGUCCAACUGUUAACCUAGCAAAUGGCGUGGUUGCUGUAAUACCAGCCACAUUCUGCAGACAGGUGCAGAGAGAUCUGCAGCGCAGGAGCUGCAGCGGAUCAUAAUUGCAAACUCUGCUAACGAGCUGGGGGAACCAGCCUAGAAUGAGGUAACCCCUUGACCUUGGAAAGGUCUGUGCUGUCCACCCCCCAGUAAUGAGCCAGCUCAGACACUUAGGAUGUGUCAACUCCAGAUUCCUUCCAGAUCUUCCAAAUGGUUUUAAACCUUUAGAUCUGCCAACGAGAGAACGAUUUUGGUUUACAUUACUGUGACACACCUGGUCCACAGCAGCCUUAUCCCUACACAUACAGCCCGAUGAUACGAGCUGAGAGGUGACAGUCAUCUGCUGCCUGUAAGUGGAGUGGCGGGACAGCGACAGCUUUCCUGUUAAUGUCAUCACUGUCAACAGAGCAAAGACGCCUCUAAAUAGCACGGGAAUGUUCAGCAAUUGUCAUCUCAUGUGGAAAGUUCAAACUGUAGUUCAAGGACAGAAGGUCUUCUAAGUAAAAGGAGAUCAAAUCCCCAAGGAUUUGUAAAAUGCUGCUGCUAGUGCCCCCCAAAUGCCUUUAGCUUAUUUCGCUGAAGCGGCAUGCUGCAGCUUAUAUCUGUAUGACAAGAAAAGGACAAAAGUGUGCGCAGUUGGGACCCUGAGCAAUUUUGCUGGUCGUAAAUACAGCGAGGCACCAAUAAAAUGAGACUCUUAUUCUGAGCAAAAGAAAAUGCAGAAAAUUGAGCAUCAGACAGAGCCAAGCUGUGUGCCUACUUUGGGUGCAGUUAGGAGGAAUCUGGGGGAAAAAAAAAGCUGCGUAAGACAGAGCAAUUCAAAUUCAAAAAACUUCAAUUGCAAAUACUUGCUACUCUGUCAGGAUGGUGGGACACCAGAGAAGUCUACAAAUUUACUACCUUUACUGUCUACAAAUAACACGGGGCAGGCCCCUGGAGGUGCUGAG